UUUAAGAGUCUGGACAAAAAGAAUGAUGGGCGAAUCGAUGCUCAGGAGAUCAUGCAGUCCCUGCGGGAUCUGGGUGUCAAGAUCUCUGAACAGCAGGCGGAGAAGAUUCUUAAGAGCAUGGAUAAGAAUGGGACAAUGACCAUCGACUGGAACGAGUGGAGGGACUACCACCUCCUGCACCCUGUGGAGAACAUCCCUGAGAUCAUCCUGUACUGGAAGCACUCGACGACCAUGUACAAGAGCUGCAGCCACUGUCGGGGCAAAGGGGGAGUUCCUGCCAUCCUCAUCAUUCGUGUGGCCACUUGAGAGAGUGGAAGGCAGUGACCAUGGCCAGGUGGCUAGCACCUUGGCCACGGAUGUCGUGAGUAAAGUUGCCUAUGUCUCUGCUUGUCUUCCCCAUAGAUCUUCGAUGUUGGUGAGAAUCUGACAGUCCCAGAUGAGUUCACAGUGGAGGAGAGGCAGACAGGGAUGUGGUGGAGGCACCUGGUGGCAGGAGGUGGUGCAGGGGCAGUUUCCAGAACCUGCACUGCCCCCCUGGACAGACUGAAGGUGCUCAUGCAGGUCCAUGCCUCCCGCAGCAACAACAUGUGCAUCAUAGGUGGAUUCACACAGAUGAUUCGAGAAGGGGGCGCCAAGUCCCUCUGGAGGGGCAAUGGCAUCAAUGUCCUCAAAAUUGCCCCUGAGUCAGCCAUCAAGUUCAUGGCAUAUGAGCAG
rnacentral:lncRNA from 1 species